ACACAGGUGCUGCAUGGCUGUCGUCAGCUCGUGUCUUGAGAUGUUGGGUUAAGUCCCGUAACGAGCGCAACCCUUGUCCUUAGUUACCAGCACGUUAUGGUGGGCACUCUAAGGAGACUGCCGGUGACAAACCGGAGGAAGGUGGGGAUGACGUCAAGUCAUCAUGGCCCUUACGGCCUGGGCUACACACGUGCUACAAUGGUCGGUACAGAGGGUUGCCAAGCCGCGAGGUGGAGCUAAUCCCAUAAAACCGAUCGUAGUCCGGAUCGCAGUCUGCAACUCGACUGCGUGAAGUCGGAAUCGCUAGUAAUCGUGGAUCAGAAUGCCACGGUGAAUACGUUCCCGGGCCUUGUACACACCGCCCGUCACACCAUGGGAGUGGGUUGCACCAG
rnacentral:rRNA from 1 species